UACGGAAGGGGCAAGCGUUGUUCGGAAUCAUUGGGCGUAAAGGGCGCGUAGGUGGUUCUGUGUGUCUACUGUGAAAGUGUACGGCUCAACCGUAUUUUAUCAGUAGAAACUGCAGGACUUGAGGCUGGGAGAGGCUGGUGGAAUUCCCUGUGUAGCGGUGAAAUGCGUAGAGAUGGGGGAGAACACUCGUGGCGAAGGCGGCCAGCUAGACCAGUUCUGACACUGAGGCGCGACAGCGUGGGGAGCAAACAGG
rnacentral:rRNA from 1 species